GAUGAACGCUGGCGGCGUGCCUAAUACAUGCAAGUCGAGCGAAGCGGGGACGGGUGAGUAAAACGUGGGUAACAUCCUAUAAGACGGGGGUAAAUUCGGGAAAACGGAGCUAAACCGGAAACUGAUAGAUGGAUGCGCGCUGCAUUAGCUAGUUGGUAGGGUAACGGCUUACCAAGGCAACGAUGCCUAGCUGACCUGAGAGGAUGAUCGGCCACACUGGAACUGAGACACGGUCCAGACUCCUACGGGAGGCAGCAGUAGGGAAUCUUGCGCAAUGGGCGAAAGCCUGACGGAGCAACGCCGCGUGAGUGAUGAAGGUCUUCGGAUUGUAAAACUCUGUUAUUAGGGAAGCGGUACCUAAUCAGAAAGCCACGGCUAACUACGUGCCAGCAGCCGCGGUAAUAC
rnacentral:rRNA from 1 species